CCCUACUGCUAUCGGGGUGGGACUAAGACAUGCAAGUUGAGCGUCUCUAAGCCAUGGUAGAGACGCGGCGUACGGCUCAGUAACACGUGGCUAACCUACCCUUAGGACGGGGACAACCCCGGGAAACUGGGACUAAUACCCGAUAGGUGAGGAGGCCUGGACUGGUUCUUAGUCGAAAAGGCGUUGAAACCAUGCUUUUCGACGUCGCCUAAGGAUGGGGCCGCGUCCGAUCAGGUUGUUGGUGGGGUAACGGCUCACCAAGCCUUUAACCGGUACGGGCCGUGAGAGCGGGAGCCCGGAGAUGGGCACUGAGACAAGGGCCCAGGCCCUACGGGGCGCAGCAGUCGCGAAAACUCCGCAAUGCGCGAAAGCGUGACGGGGCUAUCCCGAGUGCCGUCCGCUGAGGAUGGCUUUUCCCCGGUGUAAUGAGCCGGGGGAAUAAGGAGAGGGCAAGUCUGGUGUCAGCCGCCGCGGUAAUACCAGCUCUCCGAGUGGUAGGGAUGAUUAUUGGGCUUAAAGCGUCCGUAGCCGGCUUAGCAAGUCUCCUGUUAAAUUCAGCGACCUAAUCGUUGAGCCGCGGGAGAUACUACUAGGCUAGGAGGCGGAAGAGGCCGACGGUAUUCUCGGGGUAGGGGUGAAAUCCUAUAAUCCCGGGAGGACCACCAGUGGCGAAGGCUGUCGGCUAGAACGCGCUCGACGGUGAGGGACGAAAGCUGGGGGAGCGAACCGGAUUAGAUACCCGGGUAGUCCCAGCCGUAAACGAUGCGGGCUAGGUGUUGGGGUGGCUACGAGCCACUUCAGUGCCGCAGGGAAGCCAUUAAGCCCGCCGCCUGGGGAGUACGGCCGCAAGGCUGAAACUUAAAGGAAUUGGCGGGGGAGCACCACAAGGCGUGAAGCUUGCGGUUC
rnacentral:rRNA from 1 species